AGCGAACGCUGGCGGCAGGCUUAACACAUGCAAGUCGAACGGGCUUCUUCGGAAGUCAGUGGCAGACGGGUGAGUAACACGUGGGAACGUGCCCUUCGGUUCGGAAUAACUCAGGGAAACUUGAGCUAAUACCGGAUACGCCCUUUUGGGGAAAGGUUUACUGCCGAAGGAUCGGCCCGCGUCUGAUUAGCUUGUUGGUGGGGUAACGGCCUACCAAGGCGACGAUCAGUAGCUGGUCUGAGAGGAUGAUCAGCCACACUGGGACUGAGACACGGCCCAGACUCCUACGGGAGGCAGCAGUGGGGAAUAUUGGACAAUGGGCGCAAGCCUGAUCCAACCAUGCCGCGUGAGUGAUGAAGGCCUUAGGGUUGUAAAGCUCUUUUGUCCGGGACGAUAAUGACGGUACCGGAAGAAUAAGCCCCGGCUAACUUCGUG
rnacentral:rRNA from 1 species